AGGAGGAUGUGAUCUGUGUCCUAUCUGGAAUAUCAAGGGGAUGAAGGCAAUGGAAGUAGCUACCACUUGGUGACUUAGACAAACUCUUAAUGUAAAACCACCAUCAGAGCCACCCUGGAGUUAUGGCAAGGCCACCACAGUCUCCUCCAAAGGCCACUGAUAUGGAACUGGGAACCUCCCUCCAUAGAAUGCUAAAUGGCUGAUGUGAACUUGGUUAAGGAUCUAUAAUUCUUCUUACGAAGAGGAAAGUUCUGGAAGACCAAAGAAAAUAUGUCAUGAAAUCAAGCCAUUAAGAAGUUGUGACUCCAAAAAAGUAAAAGCGUGAGCUACUGUACACAC
rnacentral:lncRNA from 1 species